rnacentral:sRNA from 1 species
AGAUAAAGUACCGGACGACACCCUGC